CCUACGGGUGGCAGCAGUGGGGAAUAUUGGACAAUGGGCGAAAGCCUGAUCCAGCCAUGCCGCGUGUGUGAAGAAGGCCUUCGGGUUGUAAAGCACUUUCAGUGGGGAAGAAAGCCUUGGGGCUAAUACCCUCGAGGAAGGACAUCACCCACAGAAGAAGCACCGGCUAACUCCGUGCCAGCAGCCGCGGUAAUACGGAGGGUGCGAGCGUUAAUCGGAAUUACUGGGCGUAAAGCGCGCGUAGGCGGUCUGAUAAGCCGGUUGUGAAAGCCCCGGGCUCAACCUGGGAACGGCAUCCGGAACUGUCAGGCUAGAGUGCAGGAGAGGAAGGUAGAAUUCCCGGUGUAGCGGUGAAAUGCGUAGAGAUCGGGAGGAAUACCAGUGGCGAAGGCGGCCUUCUGGACUGACACUGACGCUGAGGUGCGAAAGCGUGGGUAGCAAACAGGAUUAGAUACCCCAGUAGU
rnacentral:rRNA from 1 species